rnacentral:rRNA from 1 species
AGAGUUUGAUCCUGGCUCAGAACGAACGCUGGCGGCAGGCCUAACACAUGCAAGUCGAGCGCCCGCAAGGGAGCGGCAGACGGGUGAGUAACGCGUGGGAACGUGCCCUUUGGUUCGGAAUAUUCCCGGGAAACUGGGAGCAAAACCGGAUAAGCCCUUCGGGGGAAAGUUUACGCCAAAGGAUCGGCCCGCGUUAGAUUAGGUAGUUGGUGGGGUAACGGCCUACCAAGCCUACGAUCUAUGGCUGAUCUGAGAGGAUGAUCAGCCACACUGGGACUGAGACACGGCCCAGACUCCUACGGGAGGCAGCAGUGGGGAAUCUUGGACAAUGGGCGCAAGCCUGAUCCAGCCAUGCCGCGUGGAUGACUGAAGGCCCUAGGGUUGUAAAGUCCUUUCGACGGGGACGAUAAUGACGGUACCCGUAGAAGAAGCCCCGGCUAACUUCGUGCCAGCAGCCGCGGUAAUACGAAGGGGGCUAGCGUUGUUCGGAUUUACUGGGCGUAAAGGGCGCGUAGGCGGAUUUUUAAGUCGGGGGUGAAAUCCCGGAGCUCAACUCCGGAACUGCCUUCGAUACUGGAAGUCUGGAGCACGGUAGAGGUGAGUGGAAUUCCGAGUGUAGCGGUGAAAUGCGUAGA